UGUGUUGUUUCAGUUGUCUUCAUCAUGUUUCAAUGAUUUCCAGGAUGCUAUUAGUUCAUAAUUUCUGUUGGUACUUGCAGCUCUUUGGUUUAACUUGAACUUCUUUCUCUCAUUAUUCAGGGUCAAAUUAUAAAAACUAUUGGGUUUCUUAACAACUUCUUUCUGUUGGUACUUGAUGCAAAGGUUUUUGUGCCUUCUUACCCAAAAUCUCUGACUGAGUUGAUGGGAAAGUCUUCUAUUUUGCUUAUCAAUGGAAGCUUGCAAAGGAGAAUCCAUGGACUAGUGGGUGGCUUCUUUAAAUCUCCACAGCUCAAGGCUUAAAUCACCAGAGACAUGUACAAGUAUGUCCAAGAAUCUAUGACAAAUUGGAGCCAUGACCGACCCAUCUACAUUCAGGAUGAAACCAAAAAUGUUUGUGGAAAUUAUGGCUCCUGUCUUUUCUCGAAAAGCUUGGCGGUGUGUAUGGCACAUGAUUCAGGUAUAUUGAGAUGAUUUCUUUGGAGCAAUUCUUGACAACAUUUGUAGUUGAGGCCUUUAGAAUGGAAGAAUGUAUUUCACUAAUUUUUGUGUACAUUUCUUGUUUUGUAUUUAGUGAUAAAGGAAUCUAAAUUGGGCAUAAAUUAUGUUGUAAUAUGAUUUCUUAAGCCUAGACUAGUAGACUAAAUAUUGUAAUUACAUUUUGAGUAAUUAAUAAAAAUCUAUUUAUGUUA